rnacentral:sRNA from 1 species
CCCAACAUGAUAUAAUCACCUUUGCGAGAAGUUUUAUGGGCGGUGGCUGUUUUCUCGAGAUGAGGUGGUUCCAACGAGCUAUUCUUCAGAAAGGAUUACGACCCGUGAGUGUCUAUCAGGCACUCAUGCUAGCGUUAGCAUUUGCGGCUUUUGUCAUUACAUUACUAACCUUUA